GAAAGAGCAGAGCUGAAGAAUUAAUGGGUUUGUGGUUAAGUAUAUUGAUAUUUUUUACCUGAUAAAACAGCCAUCCAGGUAUUCCUCUUUUCAUCAAACUGCUGUUUCAACUUCAUUCAUUCAUUCAUAUUAGUUUACAAGUAAAGCAUAUCAUUAUAUCUUUUGCACACUAUGUAUUCUAAUUUAACAAGUAGCCAGGCACUACCCUUGGCAAUCAGAGUUUCCUCACAACCCAUCAGAUUUUUUAAACAUCUCCACCCCAAAUCACAAUAUUUUCCAAUUCUGUCUCAGCCAAAACCGCCCUUAAACCCCAUUGUCUUCAACUUCGCCAAGAAUGGUCACAAAAGUUUCAGCUCUUUGGAACCCACUAGUUUUUCAAAUGAAUUUUGUCCCAAGUCAAUGGGAAUGAACACUUUAGGUAAAGCAAGGAGUAUCUCAAGUGUCUUUGGGAUGAAAAGUGCUGUACAAUGUUGUGCUUUGGUUAGAGGUAGGAGUUUUUCAAGCUCAUAUUUAUCGAGAGUUGGUGAAGGUGGUCGUGAUUUAAGAGUUGGAAAGUCACGUCCUUGGUUAAAAUUAAACAAAUCUAAGGAAGCAAAAGGGUUCAAGAAAGUGAGGAGCACUAUGAAUAUUCGUUCAUCUUGGGAGGAAUCAGCAGAGAGAUUGCAAAAAGGGAGUAGUAGCUAUCCCUCUUGGGAAGAAUCCGCCAAAAGGUUGGACAAAGUGACAACUACGAAAAUUAGCCAUUCGUCUUGGGAGGGAUUACCUGAAUCUUCUGUUCAGAAUAUAGAAAACAGAAAUUUAAUAGUAGGUAAGCCAAAGAAUUACCAAAAUGGUCAUGUCAAAAGCAAUGGAAAUGUUGAGGAGGAAGAAAAAGAAGCAGAAGUAGAAGUAGAAGGAGAUGUGGAGGUUGUUGAAGAGCAUAGAUGGGAUAGGAAGAAGAAUAUGUUCAGAGGGGACAGGAAAGUGUGGUCUGAGAAACCUGAAUUCCGGAGUUGGAAUAAGCAGGAAAAUAUGGAAAGAAGGACAUGGAAAGAGCCUACCGAAUCAACUGUACCUAAGAUGGUCGGUGAAGGGUUAUAUGGAGUAGGUCCUGUUUUGGCUGCUUUGUCAGCUGGAAGAAGAGAAUUUUAUGCAUUGUAUGUUCAAGAAGGAUUGUCUUUGAGUAGUAAUAAUCGGAAGAGGAAGGACAAGAAAGGGUUUGAGAAGGUAUUGAAAAUGGCAGAAAAUAUCGGAAUAAGUAUAAAGGAAACCUCAAAGCAUGACCUCAAUAUGGUUGCUGAUAAUCGCCCUCAUCAGGGCCUUGUGCUAGAUGCUUCUCCAUUGGAGAUGGUAAAGAUAAAGGAAUUGGACCCUGUUUCAAUUGAGGAAGACCAAACGUCUCUCUGGGUAGCAUUGGAUGAGGUCACAGAUCCUCAGAAUAUGGGAGCUAUCAUUAGGUCUGCUUACUUCUUUGGAGCUUCAGGAGUGGUGUUAUGUGCAAAAAAUUCAGCUCCAUUAAGUGGUGUUGUGAGCAAGGCAAGUGCAGGCUCACUUGAAUUAAUGGAGUUGAGGUAUUGCAACAAUAUGAUGCAGUUCUUAAUAUCCUCUGCAGAAAAUGGCUGGCGAGUUCUUGGAGGUUCAGUUUCUUCAAAAGCAAUUGCCUUGAAUGAGAUCCCCCCCGGUCCACCGACUAUACUUGUUUUGGGCAGUGAGGGUACUGGAUUGAGGCCUUUGGUGGAGAGAUCAUGUACCCAUUUGGUUAAGAUCCCUGGAAAUAUUCCGGUGGAUGUAACUGCUGGAGUAGAUGAUAUGGCCUCUGACGAACAAUUUCGGUCAUUUAUGGCUGUCGAGAGCUUGAAUGUCAGUGUUGCUGCAGGUGUGCUUCUUCACUACUUAAUUGGGCACCAGUCCAAUGAUAACCGCCACAUUGCUGAUAUUUCAACUAGUACACAUGAUUAAGACAAUGUAAAUGGUUGCUUGAUGAUAAGGGAAGCAACACGCUUGGAUGGGAAUAUAUUGCCCUGGAAAUUGAUUUUUUUUGGUGUGCAUGAAUAAAAAGAUCAACACAAUAAUGAAUGUAAGAAAUGCAUAAGAGACAGAAGAAACCAAUGAUGAAUCUCACAAGUAUUGGUUAGUAAUUUGUGAUUGGAAUUCAACGUAACAGGUAUUUUUGUGUGAAGCGGGGUUUCUUAUAUCAAAUUUGAGAGUAUAUGAUUUCCUU